rnacentral:lncRNA from 12 species
CCUGGGUGGCGCAGGGGUUUGGCGCCUGCCUUUGGCCCAGGGCGCGAUCCUGGAGACCCAGGAUCGAAUCCCAUGUCAGGCUCCCGGUGCAUGGAGCCUGCUUCUCCCUCUGCCUGUAUCUCUGCCUCUCUCUCUCUCUGUGACUAUCAUAAAUAAAUAAAAAAAUUAAAAAAAAAAGAAAAGAAAAUGACUACCUUAUCAAUUUCCUCUAAUCUCCUCUGGUUACCAAGCCAGUGAAGAUUCCAGAGCACUAACCCUGCCUUGGUGGUAUCUACACUCUGUCCUUAAUGGACUGGUGCCCCCUCCUGUUUCCCUGAUUUUGAAGGAACAGUAAUCAUACCAUAAUAACAGUAGUGACAACUGCCAUCUGUAUGCCCCCUGGUGCUCUGUGCUUUACAGAUAGUCUCCAAUGCUGACAACAACUCUUUAAGGGGAGCGCUGUCAUUCCCCCUUUUGGGACCACACCACUGCGACUGGGACUGUAAGCCCAGACACCCGAGCUGGGAUUUGUACCCGAAGGACCCCUUUGCGACCAAAGCCAAGAUCUUUCUGCCACACCUCAGGGCUUUCCUCACCAGUACCCGUCGUGCUGAGGGAUGCGUUAUAUUAACGUCAAAGCAGUGUUGAAAGAGAAGUCCCCCUUUCCUCUCCAAGCAAACAACCUACUUUGCAGGCCGUGAUCAAAAUAGAUAAAUAAAACAUAGCGGUUGGAGAUACUUGAGGUUCACCUGGGGGCAGUCAGAAUAAUAACUUAAAGGAAUUCCAACGUCUAGAGCUUUGGGUAGUCCCCCUGACGUGGUUCCUCCCUCCUAGUGACAGCGACAGUGGCCGUGCCUGCCCGCUGCCCCUGCAGGCUGCACUUCCCUCGGUCGCAAGACUUGCGGGCACGGCCACGUCCACGGGCGCGGCCACAUGCACAGGCACGGCCACAUCCAUGGGUACGGCCACAUGCACGGGCACAGCCACGUCCACGGGCACGGCCACAUGUACAGGUACGGCCAUGUCCCCAGUCACGGCCACGACCACGGGCGCAGCCACUUUCACGGGCUGAAACCGGACCCUCCCCUGCCACACGCCUCCGGGACCAUGACAGAGUUUCCCUCCAGUCCGCCUCACAUCCUGGCUAACACCUGGGCUGACUUCACCUGUCCACCUUUCAGGUUUGCGGCUGUGUCUCCAGCGGAAUCAGAGCAACAGCUUUGGGGCGCCCGGGUGGCUCCGCGGUUGUGCGUCUGCCUUGGGCCCAGGGCGUGAUCCGGGGGUUCCGGGAUCGAGUCCCGCAUGGGGCUCCCCGCAGGGAGCCUGCUUCUCCCUCUGCCUGUGUCUCUGCCUCUCUGUGUCUCUCAUGAAUGAAUAAAUACAAUCUUUAAAACA